UUCUUUUUUCAGCAGUUCUGCUAUUUUAUUUAGUGAACGGCUUUUGAACAUUGUCUUGUUGCACGAUCCAAUUUUCAACUUGCUCCAGAUUUCAAAUGCAGGACCAUAUAUUUAGUUCUAGAAAACUUCAGUAUACAAAGAGAUAAUUUUCAACUUAGAAUCCAGACCUUGUGAUCCCAAGCCCAAUAAUCUCCACUCCUGUACAGGAAAGCUGCAUGAGCCUCAUCUGUAAGGACUUUCUCUGCAGCUACUGCACAGCUGGAGUCAGAAACGAAGCAAAACAUCUGGAGGGGAUUACUGUGAAGUACACUGGAGCUUUAUACAGCAAAGAUUCAUGAGACCAAAAAAAGCUUUGGGACAAUUUAAACACCUCUGCCAAAACAGCAACUCCAAAUGAACAAAUUUGUCCAACCUUAGACAUUAGUAUUACAAUGUGAGGCAGCACACAGUAACAACACAUGUACAGAAACCAGUCAGAAUAAUCUGAAUAGUUUCAGGAGAGAUGCCCUCACUCCAUCAGUUGUCCACUUCAUCCUUUCUCUACAUCCAUCGAUGUACCUCAUCAUAUAUCUAAGAACAGUUCCAAGUAAGACUGGGAGUUUACCACAGAUCUCAGUUCCUCCCUUUUCUCAGGAGGGGUUAAUGCAAAACAUUUGGCCUUAUUUAUGCAACUGAAGAGGCUGCCAGAGGACAAACAACAUAAUUGAGCAAGAUGGAUCAUAGAUUAGAACUGCUUAUUUUUAUUAUCUGGAUGGCAGGUGCUGAUGGUCAGACUCUGACACAGUCUGGAUCAGUGAGUAAAGUCCCUGGAGAAUCCCACACACUGACCUGUACAGGCUCCGGAUUCACAUUCAGCAGCCACUGCAUGCACUGGAUCAGACAGGCUGCUGGGAAAGGACUGGAAUGGGUUGCUGAAGAUUGUGGCGGCAGUAGCAAGUACUACUCACAGUCAGUCCAAGGUCGGUUCACCAUCUCCAGAGACAACGGCAGACAGCAGCUGUAUCUGCAGAUGAACGGCCUGAGGACUGAAGAUUUUGCUGUUUAUUACUGCGCUCGAAGAGACACAAUGACUAAAGUUGAUUCAGUAGCUGUACAAAAUCACAAAGGGUCUUCAAAGUCAUUUAUUCAGUACUUUUAUUUCAUCUAUGAGGAAAUCUUCUAGUUCCUUACAUUAAUUUUAAAUUUAAAAAAAGCAAAAAAGGAGAGAAACAUUUUUUAAGACUUAAUUUUUUUCUAACC